GUGCUCACUUUGGCAGAAUAUAUAGUAAAAUUGGAACUAUACAGAAAAGAUUAACAUGGCCCCUGUGCAAGACAACACACAAAUUUGUGAAGUGUUCCACGUUUUU
rnacentral:snRNA from 1 species